CAUUGCGAGCGAGUGGCGAACUGGUGAGUAACACGUGGGAAACCUGCCCAGGAGCGGGGGGAUAACACGUGGAAACAGAUGCUAAUACCGCGUAACAACUUGGACCGCAUGGUCCGAGCUUGAAAGAUGGCUUCGGCUAUCACUUUUGGAUGGUCCCGCGGCGUAUUAGCUAGAUGGUGGGGUAACGGCUCACCAUGGCAAUGAUACGUAGCCGACCUGAGAGGGUAAUCGGCCACAUUGGGACUGAGACACGGCCCAAACUCCUACGGGAGGCAGCAGUAGGGAAUCUUCCACAAUGGACGAAAGUCUGAUGGAGCAACGCCGCGUGAGUGAAGAAGGGUUUCGGCUCGUAAAACUCUGUUGUUAAAGAAGAACAUAUCUGAGAGUAACUGUUCAGGUAUUGACGGUAUUUAACCAGAAAGCCACGGCUAACUACGUGCCAGCAGCCGCGGUAAUACGUAGGUGGCAAGCGUUGUCCGGAUUUAUUGGGCGUAAAGCGAGCGCAGGCGGUUUUUUAAGUCUGAUGUGAAAGCCUUCGGCUCAACCGAAGAAGUGCAUCGGAAACUGGGAAACUUGAGUGCAGAAGAAGACAGUGGAACUCCAUGUGUAGCGGUGAAAUGCGUAGAUAUAUGGAAGAACACCAGUGGCGAAGGCGGCUGUCUGGUCUGUAACUGACGCUGAGGCUCGAAAGUAUGGGUAGCAAACAGGAUUAGAUACCCUGGUAGUCCAUACCGUAAACGAUGAAUGCUAAGUGUUGGAGGGUUUCCGCCCUUCAGUGCUGCAGCUAACGCAUUAAGCAUUCCGCCUGGGGAGUACGGCCGCAAGGCUGAAACUCAAAGGAAUUGACGGGGGCCCGCACAAGCGGUGGAGCAUGUGGUUUAAUUCGAAGCUACGCGAAGAACCUUACCAGGUCUUGACAUACUAUGCAAAUCUAAGAGAUUAGACGUUCCCUUCGGGGACAUGGAUACAGGUGGUGCAUGGUUGUCGUCAGCUCGUGUCGUGAGAUGUUGGGUUAAGUCCCGCAACGAGCGCAACCCUUAUUAUCAGUUGCCAGCAUUAAGUUGGGCACUCUGGUGAGACUGCCGGUGACAAACCGGAGGAAGGUGGGGAUGACGUCAAAUCAUCAUGCCCCUUAUGACCUGGGCUACACACGUGCUACAAUGGAUGGUACAACGAGUUGCGAACUCGCGAGAGUAAGCUAAUCUCUUAAAGCCAUUCUCAGUUCGGAUUGUAGGCUGCAACUCGCCUACAUGAAGUCGGAAUCGCUAGUAAUCGCGGAUCAGCAUGCCGCGGUGAAUACGUUCCCGGGCCUUGUACACACCGCCCGUCACACCAUGAGAGUUUGUAACACCCAAA
rnacentral:rRNA from 1 species